UACGUAGGGGGCAAGCGUUGUCCGGAAUUAUUGGGCGUAAAGCGCGUGUAGGCGGUCCGGUAAGUCGGCUGUGAAAGUCCAGGGCUCAACCCUGGGAUGCCGGUCGAUACUGCCGGACUAGAGUUCGGAAGAGGCGAGUGGAAUUCCCGGUGUAGCGGUGAAAUGCGUAGAUAUCGUGGAGAACACCCGUGGCGAAGGCGGGUUUCUGGCUGACAACUGACGCUGAGGUGCGAAAGCUAGGGGAGCGAACGGG
rnacentral:rRNA from 1 species